rnacentral:misc_RNA from 1 species
GAAAUAAACUGACAGGUUGUUGCUGGUUCUCUAGGGAACAUGUGCACGCCUUGUCAUCUUUAUAUCUCCACCCGUGCACCUUUUGUAGACCUGGAUAUCUCUCUGAGUGCUUGCACUCAGGUUUGAGGAUUGAUUUUUGUCUCUCCUUACAUUUCCAGGCCUAUGUUUCUUCAUAUACCCUAAUGUAUGUUAUAGAAUGUAAUAAAAAGGCCUUUGUGCCUAUAAACCUAUACAACUUUCAGCAACGGAUCUCUUGGCUCU